AGACAGGUGCUGCAUGGCUGUCGUCAGCUCGUGUUGUGAAAUGUUGGGUUAAGUCCCGCAACGAGCGCAACCCUUAUCCUUUGUUGCCAGCGGUUCGGCCGGGAACUCAAAGGAGACUGCCAGUGAUAAACUGGAGGAAGGUGGGGAUGACGUCAAGUCAUCAUGGCCCUUACGACCAGGGCUACACACGUGCUACAAUGGCAUAUACAAAGAGAAGCGACCUCGCGAGAGCAAGCGGACCUCAUAAAGUAUGUCGUAGUCCGGAUUGGAGUCUGCAACUCGACUCCAUGAAGUCGGAAUCGCUAGUAAUCGUAGAUCAGAAUGCUACGGUGAAUACGUUCCCGGGCCUUGUACACACCGCCCGUCACACCAUGGGAGUGGGUUGCAAAAGAAGUAGGUAGCUUAACCUUCGGGAGGGCGCUUACCACUUUGUGAUUCAUGACUGGGGUGAAGUCGUAACAAGGUAACCGUAGGGGAACCUGCGGUUGGAUCAC
rnacentral:rRNA from 1 species